CACUCUCCUUUACCCUGAUGUCCUGCACAUUUUACACAACAGUCCACUACAAUUACUUACUGCAAAAAUGAGCUGCAGUGCUUUAAGCUUCCACAAGUACAAAGUGCAUGCUUUCAGUAAUAACACUUAAGAUGGGCCAUCCGCUAUCCCCACUGUCUGAGUAUUCACUGAACUCCAAUCCAGCACCACACAGCAUUCUGGGAGAUGCAGGCAGAGGAAAGACUUUAGCUGCUCAACGUA